rnacentral:rRNA from 1 species
UACGUAGGGUGCAAGCGUUGUCCGGAAUUAUUGGGCGUAAAGAGCUCGUAGGCGGUCUGUCGCGUCUGCUGUGAAAACUCGGGGCUUAACCCCGGGCCUGCAGUGGGUACGGGCUGACUAGAGUGCGGUAGGGGAGACUGGAAUUCCUGGUGUAGCGGUGAAAUGCGCAGAUAUCAGGAGGAACACCGAUGGCGAAGGCAGAUCUCUGGGCCGUAACUGACGCUGAGGAGCGAAAGCGUGGGGAGCGAACAGG